rnacentral:rRNA from 1 species
GGGGGGGGAGGCUACCUGCAAGUCGAGCGGAAACGAUGGAGUGCUUGCACUCCAGGCGUCGAGCGGCGGACGGGUGAGUAACGCGUGAGAAUCUGCCCAUUAGUGGGGGAUAACCCGGGGAAACUCGGGCUAAUACCGCAUACGUCCUACGGGACAAAGCAGGGGACCUUCGGGCCUUGCGCUGAUGGAUGAGCUCGCGUCGGAUUAGCUUGUUGGUGAGGUAAAGGCUCACCAAGGCGACGAUCCGUAGCUGGUCUGAGAGGAUGAUCAGCCACACCGGGACUGAGACACGGCCCGGACUCCUACGGGAGGCAGCAGUGGGGAAUCUUGGACAAUGGGGGCAACCCUGAUCCAGCCAUGCCGCGUGUGUGAAGAAGGCCUUCGGGUUGUAAAGCACUUUCAGCAGGGAGGAAGGCUUUGGGCUAAUACCCUGGAGUACUUGACGUUACCUGCAGAAGAAGCACCGGCUAAUUUCGUGCCAGCGCCCGCGGUAAAGCGC